rnacentral:rRNA from 1 species
AGCGAACGCUGGCGGCAGGCUUAACACAUGCAAGUCGAGCGGGCAUAGCAAUAUGUCAGCGGCAGACGGGUGAGUAACGCGUGGGAACGUACCUUUUGGUUCGGAACAACACAGGGAAACUUGCGCUAAUACCGGAUAAGCCCUUACGGGGAAAGAUUUAUCGCCGAAAGAUCGGCCCGCGUCUGAUUAGCUAGUUGGUGAGGUAAUGGCUCACCAAGGCGACGAUCAGUAGCUGGUCUGAGAGGAUGAUCAGCCACAUUGGGACUGAGACACGGCCCAAACUCCUACGGGAGGCAGCAGUGGGGAAUAUUGGACAAUGGGCGCAAGCCUGAUCCAGCCAUGCCGCGUGAGUGAUGAAGGCCCUAGGGUUGUAAAGCUCUUUUGUGCGGGAAGAUAAUGACGGUACCGCAAGAAUAAGCCCCGGCUAACUUCGUG